rnacentral:rRNA from 1 species
UACGGGGGGGGGUAAGCGUUGUUCGGAAUUACUGGGCGUAAAGGGCUCGUAGGCGGCCAACUAAGUCAGACGUGAAAUCCCUCAGCUUAACCGGGGAACUGCGUCUGAUACUGGAUGGCUUGAGUUUGGGAGAGGGACGCGGAAUUCCAGGUGUAGCGGUGAAAUGCGUAGAUAUCUGGAGGAACACCGGUGGCGAAGGCGGCAUCCUGGACCAAUUCUGACACUGAGGAGCGAAAGCCAGGGGAGCAAAAGCGGG